rnacentral:rRNA from 1 species
UACGUAGGGGGCAAGCGUUGUCCGGAUUUAUUGGGCGUAAAGAGCGUGUAGGCGGCCUGAAAGGUCAGCUGUGAAAACUCGGGGCUCAACCCCGAGACGUCGGUUGAAACCAUCUGGCUAGAGACCGGAAGAGGAGUGUGGAAUUCCCGGUGUAGCGGUGAAAUGCGCAGAUAUCGGGAAGAACACCCGUGGCGAAGGCGGCACUCGGGGACGGUACUGACGCUGAGACGCGAAAGCGUGGGGAGCGAACAGG